rnacentral:rRNA from 1 species
GCCAGACUCCUACGGGAGGCAGCAGUGGGGGAUAUUGCACAAUGGGGGAAACCCUGAUGCAGCAACGCCGCGUGAGUGAAGAAGUAUUUCGGUAUGUAAAGCUCUAUCAGCAGGGAAGAGAAUGACGGUACCUGACUAAGAAGCCCCGGCUAACUACGUGCCAGCAGCCGCGGUAAUACGUAGGGGGCGAGCGUUAUCCGGAUUUACUGGGUGUAAAGGGAGCGUAGACGGCUGGUCAAGUCUGAAGUGAAAGCCCGGGGCUUAACCCCGGAACGGCUUUGGAAACUGAGCAGCUAGAGUGCUGGAGAGGUAAGCGGAAUUCCUAGUGUAGCGGUGAAAUGCGUAGAUAUUAGGAGGAACACCAGUGGCGAAGGCGGCUUACUGGACAGUAACUGACGUUGAGGCUCGAAAGCGUGGGGAGCAAACAGGAUUAGAUACCCCAGUAA